rnacentral:rRNA from 1 species
ACUCCUACGGGAGGCAGCAGUGGGGAAUAUUGCACAAUGGGGGAAACCCUGAUGCAGCAACGCCGCGUGCGGGAUGACGGCCUUCGGGUUGUAAACCGCUUUCAGCAGGGGCGAAUUCAGACGGUACCUGCAGAAGAAGCACCGGCUAACUACGUGCCAGCAGCCGCGGUAAU